UUCUUUAUCACCGAGUGCUUGCACUCACCGGUAAAGGGUUGAGUGGCGAACGGGUGAGUAACACGUGGGCAACCUGCCCAAAAGAGGGGGAUAACACUUGGAAACAGGUGCUAAUACCGCAUAACCAUAGUUACCGCAUGGUAGCUAUGUAAAAGGUGGCUAUGCUACCGCUUUUGGAUGGGCCCGCGGCGCAUUAGCUAGUUGGUGGGGUAAAGGCUUACCAAGGCAAUGAUGCGUAGCCGAACUGAGAGGUUGAUCGGCCACAUUGGGACUGAGACACGGCCCAAACUCCUACGGGAGGCAGCAGUAGGGAAUCUUCCACAAUGGGCGAAAGCCUGAUGGAGCAACGCCGCGUGGGUGAAGAAGGUCUUCGGAUCGUAAAACCCUGUUGUUAGAGAAGAAAGUGCGUGAGAGUAACUGUUCACGUUUCGACGGUAUCUAACCAGAAAGCCACGGCUAACUACGUGCCAGCAGCCGCGGUAAUACGUAGGUGGCAAGCGUUAUCCGGAUUUAUUGGGCGUAAAGGGAACGCAGGCGGUCUUUUAAGUCUGAUGUGAAAGCCUUCGGCUUAACCGGAGUAGUGCAUUGGAAACUGGGAGACUUGAGUGCAGAAGAGGAGAGUGGAACUCCAUGUGUAGCGGUGAAAUGCGUAGAUAUAUGGAAGAACACCAGUGGCGAAAGCGGCUCUCUGGUCUGUAACUGACGCUGAGGUUCGAAAGCGUGGGUAGCAAACAGGAUUAGAUACCCUGGU
rnacentral:rRNA from 1 species